CUUUUUUCUUCAGCCUUUCAGAACUUUAUUAGGUGGCGUUUGGGCAAAAGAGAAAACCCCUGAAACAGCCGCUCAGCUGUUCCGACGACUGGAAGAGAGAAGCAGCCUUUGUUGGCUGACGUUCUCUCACUGAGAAACCACCAAAAAGGCUCUUGCACAUAGUUUCCCCUGCUUCCUCUGCCUCCUGGCCAAGCCUGGUGCUUCCAGGAGUCGCCUUGCAUGGAGUGGCACUGCAUGGAGUGGCAUGCCUCCUGUUUCCAGGGAUCUAUAAACUCCUUGCUCCAGCAUCCUUCUCUCCAGUUCUGCAUCUGGCACUACACAAGCUAAGGCGUCCAUGGCCUAAGCAUGUGCACAUGUAAAGCCUCGUCCUGGCUCUGGAAGACCUGCUGGGGACAGUCUCCUGCGCCAUGAAUUAACAAGUGUGAAGCUGCUUCUGUGACCUCGCAUCUGUUUACUCCAGUUUGGAAAGUCAUCCUGUUCCUGGGUCUCAUCCUCCUGGGCAGAAAACCAAAGGGCUCCAGGACACUCUCAGCUGCCCGAUGCCCCACCCGUGCUGAGGCCAGGACUGCGUGUACACACAGGUGUCAUCCACCCAUGGGUUCUGCCUGGCCCCUCUCUCCCUCUUCUCCCCACAUCAUUCAGUGCUCCUUCUGCCCUGGAACUGGUGAUGAUACUCCAUGGGGUUCAAGGGCAUCCUCUGAAUGUGCUGUCUUUGGUUUAAAUGGGGCUUUGCUGUGUGUUACUGUUAGUAUGUGAGGUUGGAGCCAGCUUUCUCAUGGGUUCACACAACAAACAGUCUCCUGGAGCCUACUCUACUUGUUGCACGAGAAUGCUGGCUCUGGUACAUGGGGAUGCAUCAUCUGUGACAGAUGUCAGCUGCCCUCCUCACACUGUAGGUCUGCCCUUGAGCAGUCGUCCAGCAGCCUAGCAGCAGGGAGCUCACAUCCUCAUAUUACACCUUCAGGCAGGUGGUGAGAGGAGGAGCUUUAUUGAUCAACUACUCCAUGCCAGGCACGUGCCUUGCCUCUUUACAACAUUCUUGGGGGCUAAUUGUUACUAUCAUUCCCAAUCCACAGAUGAGGAAACCAAGGCUCCUACAGGUUGAGUGAUUUCUGAGGUCGCUUAGGGCUGGGGCUGAGGCUGGGAAGGUCUGACUCAGGGUCUUGCUUGUUCCCUGGCAUGUUCCAACCUCUCAGACACAGGACAUCCCAGAACCAUGGGGCUCCUGGUUUGCUGCCUUGCUGCACCUCAGCCAUUUAUCAAGGGGCCUCUGUGUUGUCUUGGCACUGGGAACCCUACAAAUCCCUUGUCGUUAUGGAGGUUUCCUCCUAACAAGGAAGACAGAGACAGUAAACAGACAUGAGACGGUUUCAGGGGGCCGAGAGUGAAGGCUACCACGCAGGGGAUGGUGGAGAGGCUCUGAGGAGGAGACUGUCUAUUGCUGUGUGACAAACGACACCAACGCUUAGAGCCUACAGCACCAAAUGUUUGUUGUCUUGGUCUCUGUGGGUCAGGAGACCAGGAGCAGCAAGGCUGGGUGGCUCUGACUCAGGGCUCUCAUGAGGUCACAGUCAGAAUGUCGGCUCGGGCCAUAUUGUCCCAGGGCUGGGAAAUCCACCUGUAAGCUCACGUGUGUGGCUGGUGACUGGUGAGGACCUGAUGCCUCACCACAUGGACCUCUCCACAGGGCCGCUCACAGGCGGGGCAACUGGCUUCCCAGGGGGAAAGAAGGAGAUGGAGAUUAAGAUUGAGGUACACACACACACACACUCACGCAUGCACCGCCCCUGCCUGCUUUCCUUCUGCACAGCUGUGAUGAAAUGGAAAACAGAACAAGGAAGAAGCACCCUCUCCCGCUGCUCCUGGACCAUCCUUCCUCACCAUCUGUGGCUUGCUUUCCUUCUGACUUCCUGAGAAUGGCUUUGGAGAGUCAUCCAGCUGACAGAGGGUUGUCUGCACCUUGUCCCUGUCCCCUGAGGCAAGAAGACAGCACAAGUUUCCGCUGGCCAUUCUGGUCUUCUGUCACCUGCCAGUACAGGGGUCAAUGUGGCAGGCACUGAUGGCCAAUUGAACUUUCUGGACAGGGAAUCCAAUGUCCUAGAACAUUUAGGGUUUACGUUUAGCCAGCUGGAACACGCAUUGCUGGAAACUACUUGCUUUGGGUCUUAUUUGCUGCUGGCAAGAGCACAGGGGAGAUUGGGCGCUGCCAGGGGAGGCCAGGUGGUCCACCUGUGACAACAGGCCUGAAUGUUCAUGGAGAAAAGUGUGAGCUCUCUCCCCUUUUUUAAAAUAAUAACCCAUCGCUUUGGUGAACGAUUGCUCAUUUUUCCAUUUAAAAGUUGUGACUUCUACACUCAGAAGAUGCACACAAAAUACUUAUGCAUUCAUUUGGAUGUGUGUGUGUGUGUGUGUGUGUGUGUGUAUACAGUUUAAAGAUUCAUGUAGUGUAGACAUCUGUAUUCACUACCCAAGUCAGUAAAUGAGACAUUUCCAGCAGCCCAGAAGCACUCGUGUCCCUCCUGACACCAACCCCUCUCCCUGGAGUGACUGGUGCCCUGACUUUUGUGACAGUCUUGGCCUCAUAGUCUCACUCCCCAUUGGGCACCACUCAGCUGAGGUGUUGCAUUUUGCCCAUUUUUCUUCAUUCACCUGGAUUGUGGUGUGUGCCCUCUUUGGGGACUGGCUGCCUGGGCAACUCACUCCACUUCUGGGGGUGGCCAGGGCAUAUGCAUUCCCGUGGCUGUUUAGCGUCCCUUGUGUGGAUGGGCCACAUUCAUCCAUUCUCCUGUUGAGACACACUGGGCCCAUUCCAGCUCGGGGCUCCAGGAGCACACUGCCCCAGGCCGUGUCCCACGCUUCACUGGCAUUUA